UACGGUGGGGGCAAGCGUUGUUCGGAAUUACUGGGCGUAAAGGGCUCGUAGGCGGCCAACUAAGUCGGAUGUGAAAUCCCCAGGCUUAACCUGGGAACUGCAUCCGAUACUGGAUGGCUUGAAUCCGGGAGAGGGAUGCGGAAUUCCAGGUGUAGCGGUGAAAUGCGUAGAUAUCUGGAGGAACACCGGUGGCGAAGGCGGCAUCCUGGACCGGCAUUGACGCUGAGGAGCGAAAGCCAGGGGAGCAAACGGG
rnacentral:rRNA from 1 species